UCCCUCUUAGCUCAGUGGUAGAGCGCUUCACUAGUAUUCCCUAGUUGGCUAUCAAAGUACUAUGAAGAGGUCAGUCGUUCAAGUCGGCUAGAGGGAA